GAUGAACGCUGACAGAAUGCUUAACACAUGCAAGUCAACUUGAACUUCGGUUUGGGUGGCGGACGGGUGAGUAACGCGUAAAGAACUUGCCUCACAGAUAGGGACAACAUUUGGAAACGAAUGCUAAUACCUGAUAUUAUGAUUAUAUGGCAUCGUAUAAUUAUGAAAGCUAUAUGCGCUGGGAGAGAGCUUUGCGUCCCAUUAGCUAGUUGGAGAGGUAACGGCUCACCAAGGCGAUGAUGGGUAGCCGGCCUGAGAGGGUGAUCGGCCACAAGGGGACUGAGACACGGCCCUUACUCCUACGGGAGGCAGCAGUGGGGAAUAUUGGACAAUGGACCAAGAGUCUGAUCCAGCAAUUCUGUGUGCACGAUGAAGUUUUUCGGAAUGUAAAGUGCUUUCAGUUGGGAAGAAAAAAAUGACGGUACCAACAGAAGAAGUGACGGCUAAAUACGUG
rnacentral:rRNA from 1 species